GACAGAGGAUGCAAGCGUUAUCCGGAAUGAUUGGGCGUAAAGCGUCUGUCGGUGGCUUUUUAAGUCCGCCGUCAAAUCCCAGGGCUCAACCCUGGACAGGCGGUGGAAACUACCAAGCUGGAGUACGGUAGGGGCAGAGGGAAUUUCCGGUGGAGCGGUGAAAUGCGUAGAGAUUUGGAGGAACACCAGUGGCGAAGGCGACUUUCUGGUCUGUAACUGACACUGAGGCGCGAAAGCGUGGGGAGCAAACAGG
rnacentral:rRNA from 1 species